rnacentral:rRNA from 1 species
ACGGGGUGCAGCAGGCGCGAAACCUUUGCAAUACACGCAAGUGUGACAGGGCCAUCCCGAGUGCCGACCGCUGAGGUUGGCUUUUAAUCAGUCUAGAAAGCUGGGAGAAUAAGGAGAGGGCAAGUCUGGUGUCAGCCGCCGCGGUAAUACCAGCUCUCCGAGUGGUGUGGACGUUUAUUGGGCCUAAAGCAUCCGUAGCUGGCUGAACAAGUCCCCUGUUAAACCCAACGAUUUAAUCGUUGGCUUGCGGGGGAAACUGCUCGGCUAGGAGACGGGAGAGGCAGACGGUAUUCUCGGGGUAGGGGUGAAAUCCUAUAAUCCCGAGAAGACCACCAGUGGCGAAGGCUGUCUGCUAGAACGCGCUCGACGGUGAGGGAUGAAAGCUGGGGGAGCGGACCGGACUAGAUACCCGGGUAGUCCCAGCUGUAAACGAUGCAGGCUAGGUGUUUGGACGGCCACGUGCCGUUCUAGUGCCGCAGGGAAGCUGUUAAGCCUGCCGCCUGGGGAGUACGAUCGCAAGAUUGAAACUUAAAGGAAUUGGCGGGGGAGCAC